rnacentral:sRNA from 1 species
UUCAAGUUUAAAAGAUAAUCAAACCCUAUAUGAAGAGUGGUUCAAUUACGCAGAUGCAGAUGGGGAUGGUCGUUUCACAGGCGCUGAAGCGAUCAAAUUUUUUGCUAUGUCAAACUUAUCACGACAAGAUUUGAAACAGGUAUGGGCCAUUGCAGAUUCAAAACGAGAAGGAUAUUUAGGUUUCAGAGAAUUUGUGACUGCUAUGCAG